rnacentral:rRNA from 1 species
UCGGGAAUCUUGCACAAUGGGCGAAAGCCUGAUGCAGCAACGCCGUGUGAGCGAGGAAGGUUUUCGGAUCGUAAACUUCUGAACGAGGGGCGAAUAAUGACGGUACCUCGCUAAAAGCACCGGCUAACUCCGUGCCAGCAGCCGCGGUAAUACGGAGGGUGCAAGCGUUAUCCGGAAUCACUGGGCGUAAAGGGCACGUAGGCGGUCUAGUAAGUCCGAUGUUAAAGCGUGGGGCUCAACCCCAUCACGGCGUUGGAUACUGCUAGGCUUGACGACUGGAGAGGUGAGUAGAAUUACCAGUGUAGCGGUGGAAUGCGUAGAUACUGGUAGGAAUACCCAUUGCGAAGGCAGCUCACUGGACAGUACGUGACGCUGAGGUGCGAAAGUGUGGGGAGCAAACCGGAUUAGAUACCCCUGUAGUCC